rnacentral:rRNA from 1 species
GACGAACGCUGGCGGCGUGCUUAACACAUGCAAGUCGAACGGUGAAGCGCCUUCCUUUUUGGUGGGUGUGGAUGAGUGGCGAACGGGUGAGUAACACGUGAGUAACCUGCCCCCUUCUUCUGGAUAACCGCAUGAAAGUGUGGCUAAUACGGGAUAUUCUGGGUCUGUCGCAUGAUGGGUCUGGGAAAGAUAUUGUUUCGGUGGGGGAUGGGCUCGCGGCCUAUCAGCUUGUUGGUGGGGUGAUGGCCUACCAAGGCGGUGACGGGUAGCCGGCCUGAGAGGGCGGCCGCACCCGCGGGGAGACAGGCACGGGCCAGCCUCGGGAGGGAGGAGGCGGGGGGGUAGAUCGAUGGGCGGGAGCAAGCCGGAGGAAGGCCGGCCGCGUGAGGGAGGGCGGCUGUGGGGUGGGGACCCUUUUUCGCGAGGAACAAAGGCCUGCCUCUGUUGGGGGGGGUUGGCGGGUACUUAGAAAAAAAGCCCGGCUAAAUUCGGU